UACGGGGGGGGCAAGCGUUGUUCGGAAUUACUGGGCGUAAAGGGCUUGUAGGUGGCCAACUAAGUCAGACGUGAAAUCCCUCGGCUUAACCGGGGAACUGCGUCUGAUACUGGAUGGCUAGAGUGUGGGAGAGGGAUGCGGAAUUCCAGGUGUAGCGGUGAAAUGCGUAGAUAUCUGGAGGAACACCGGUGGCGAAGGCGGCAUCCUGGACCAUGACUGACACUGAAAAGCGAAAGCCAGGGGAGCAAACGGG
rnacentral:rRNA from 1 species